AAUAGAUACCCAGGUAGUCCACGCCGUAAACGAUGAAUGCUAGGUGUUAGGGGUUUCGAUACCCUUGGUGCCGAAGUUAACACAUUAAGCAUUCCGCCUGGGGAGUACGGUCGCAAGACUGAAACUCAAAGGAAUUGACGGGGACCCGCACAAGCGGUGGAGUAUGUGGUUUAAUUCGAAGCAACGCGAAGAACCUUACCAGGUCUUGACAUCCCUCUGACCGGUCUAGAGAUAGGCCUUUCCUUCGGGACAGAGGAGACAGGUGGUGCAUGGUUGUCGUCAGCUCGUGUCGUGAGAUGUUGGGUUAAGUCCCGCAACGAGCGCAACCCUUGACUUUAGUUGCCAGCAAUUCGGUUGGGCACUCUAGAGUGACUGCCGGUGACAAACCGGAGGAAGGUGGGGAUGACGUCAAAUCAUCAUGCCCCUUAUGACCUGGGCUACACACGUACUACAAUGGCCGAUACAACGGGAAGCGAAGUCGCGAGAUGGAGCGAAUCCUAUCAAAGUCGGUCUCAGUUCGGAUUGCAGG
rnacentral:rRNA from 1 species